rnacentral:piRNA from 1 species
UGCAGAGUGGUGUGAGCUGG